CCUACGGGGGGCUGCAGUGGGGAAUAUUGGACAAUGGGCGCAAGCCUGAUCCAGCAAUACCGCGUGUGUGAAGAAGGCCUGAGGGUUGUAAAGCACUUUUAAUCGGGAGGAAUAGCGGUCGGUUAAUACCCGGUCGUCUGACAUUACCGAUAGAAAAAGCACCGGCUAACUCCGUGCCAGCAGCCGCGGUAAUACGGAGGGUGCAAGCGUUAAUCGGAGUUACUGGAGGUGGUUGGUUAAGAGGCGGUUGAAAGCCCCGGGCUGAACCUGGGAACGGCAUUUGAAACUGUUCGACUAGAGUUGGGUAGAGGGGAGUGGAAUUUCAGGUGUAGCGGUGAAAUGCGUAGAUAUCUGAAGGAACACCAGUGGCGAAGGCGGCUCCCUGGACCCAAACUGACGCUGAGGCACGAAAGCGUGGGUAGCAAACAGGAUUAGAUACCCCGGUAGUC
rnacentral:rRNA from 1 species